rnacentral:rRNA from 1 species
UACGUAGGGUGCAAGCGUUGUCCGGAAUUAUUGGGCGUAAAGAGCUCGUAGGCGGUCUGUCGCGUCGGCUGUGAAAACUUGGGGCUCAACCCCAAGCCUGCAGUCGAUACGGGCAGACUAGAGUGCGGUAGGGGAGACUGGAAUUCCUGGUGUAGCGGUGAAAUGCGCAGAUAUCAGGAGGAACACCGGUGGCGAAGGCGGGUCUCUGGACCGGCAUUGACGCUGAGGUGCGAAAGCGUGGGGAGCAAACAGG